UGGGGAAUAUUGCGCAAUGGGGGAAACCCUGACGCAGCGACGCCGCGUGCGGGAUGAAGGCCUUCGGGUUGUAAACCGCUUUUGAUUGGGAGCAAGCCUUUUGGGUGAGUGUACCUUUCGAAUAAGCGCCGGCUAACUACGUGCCAGCAGCCGCGGUAAUACGUAGGGCGCAAGCGUUAUCCGGAAUUAUUGGGCGUAAAGAGCUUGUAGGCGGUUCGUCGCGUCUGGUGUGAAAGCCCAUCGCUUAACGGUGGGUUUGCGCCGGGUACGGGCGGGCUAGAGUGCAGUAGGGGAGACUGGAAUUCCCGGUGUAACGGUGGAAUGUGUAGAUAUCGGGAAGAACACCAAUGGCGGAGGCAGGUCUCUGGGCUGUUACUGACGCUGAGAAGCGAAAGCGUGGGGAGCGAACAGG
rnacentral:rRNA from 1 species